rnacentral:rRNA from 1 species
UACGUAGGGGGCAAGCGUUGUCCGGAUUUAUUGGGCGUAAAGAGCUCGUAGGCGGUUUGGUAAGUCAGGUGUGAAAUCUCCACGCUCAACGUGGAGGGGCCACCUGAUACUGCCAUGACUGGAGUCCGGUAGAGGAGUGUGGAAUUCCCGGUGUAGCGGUGAAAUGCGUAGAUAUGCGGAGGAACACCGAUGGCGAAGGCAAUCCCCUGGGCCUGCACUGACGCUCAUGCACGAAAGCGUGGGGAGCAAACAGG